CACAGUGACUGAGGAGGGAGCCAUCAAGGUGGGCAGGAAAGCCAGCUGCAAUCCCAGUACUUAGGAGGCUCAGGCAGGAGGAAUGAGAAACAGAGGCCAGCCUGGACUGUAUGUCAGGGAGGGCAAUAGCAUCUGGAUACAAUAGAGAAGGCCCAGUCGUGUGGAAAGUUGAUGAUGCCAGAGAGAGGAUGGUGGUGAUGGACAGCAUCCUUGGAUAGGGUUUCUCUGUGGCUUUGGAGGCUGUCCUGGAACCAGCUCUCAUAGACCAGGCUGGUCUCGAACUCACAGAGAACUCACCUGCCUCUGCCUCUCGAGUGCUGGGAUUAAAGGCGUGUGCCACCACCGCCCGUUUCUUAUGAAGAGAGAAGAACUGGAAGUCUGAGAACGUGGCACGGGCGUUGGCGUGGCUGUGGGCCUGAGAACAGGGGAAGAAACCAUGGACACCACGAAGAAACGGGCAAGGCAGAGGCUUGGACACUUCGGAGAGAUAGUCGUCUCGGGCGAACCGGUUGGAGAAGAAGCACGCGCAGGAGAAAGAAGAAAGAAGUGGCCGAAUGUGGUGAGUGAACAGCGUUCAGUCAGAAAUAAAGCUGUAUAUAAUUGUAGAAAUAGGGAACAUAUAUAUGUUAUAUAAAAUAGGAAGACGUCAGCCAGCAGCUGACGAGAAAAGAUAAAUCGGGUUAUUUAACCCUUAAAGCAGAAAUGUGAAC
rnacentral:lncRNA from 1 species